GGCCUAUUAGCUCAGUUGGUUAGAGCGCUUUUGCUUAUUCGCAGGUUCGAGACUUGCAUGGGCCA
rnacentral:tRNA from 1 species